rnacentral:ncRNA from 2 species
GGCCCUUCCCCGGGGAGCCUGCUGACUGGCUGAGAGGGAUGGGUAGCGCCAUCCGACCCGUCGAACCUGAACCGGCUCGUACCGGCGGAGGGAGUGGACCGCGCCGGAUC